GUUUUUUUGUUGCUCGUUGCCCUCUGUGGGUGUUCUGGGCGGAUGCGUGUUCUGCUUGCGGCCCUUCAUAUUGUUAUUUUCUGGGAGUUUGAGUGACGCUCCGUCGCAAUCUGGUUGCGGACGUGAAGUGCUUUCGUUCUUUACCUGUCCAUCGGCAGGUGGCGUUUAGAUUUGUGGGACUACCAAUCGUCCGGGUCAACGUUACAAGAAUAGCAGACGCCGGACAGGAACCAUCCGGCCGUUAUCGGGAGCAGGUGCUUCUCCCUGGCUUGAAGUCAGGGCAGGUCGAUCACACGCUAACGCUGAUGCACUGUCACGCCGCCCUGAUGCUCCGACGACGUUGUUCGUAGGGGCCAUGAAUAACGACGUUGGCAAAAUCCCCACACCCCUCAUUCGCCGUUUCAACUGGCCGUGGUCAAGAUGGAAACCGAACAGGAGAAGGACCGAGAUCACGCCCAAGUAGUGUCCUGGCUAGGUAUGGACUCUCCGCCUUGCCCGCAGGACAUGAUGGGUAGCAGUCCUAAGGUACGUAUUUUGUGGAAAAAUCAUGAAAUGCUGGUUCAUCAUGAGGGGGUGUUGUGCCGUCGUUGGGAGGACCCCUGCCCCAGUAAGCCAUCUAUCUUGCAAGUCGUAGUUCCCCGACAUUUACGGCUGAAAAGUUGCCAUCAUCGACCGGGUCGACUGCAGGAGGUUCACGAGCAAGAUGAGUCGGACCCACCGCAGCCCAUGGCAUCCACCCUGACUCCGUCCUACCAGCCUGAUGCCACUGAUACCGCCGCCCGAGACGAGGAGGACACCGCUCGGGUAUUUGGCAGUGCUUCGCCAGUUGGCGUGAUGGAAAGGCGAACUCCGCGUUCCCGCCAUCCGCCCCAGCUGUUUGGGAGUCCUGUGUGGCACGAGUAAGUGACUUCAGUGGUAUUGACUGGAUUUGUGGUGUUCGAUAUUACAGUUAGUCUUUCAACAGAUUUUGAUAAGAACUCCAAUUUGACCUGCACUCGUUUAGUUUAAUUGUUAGCCAUAAUCUUAGUCUAAUUUAUAACGUUACUUAUAACACGAGGACGUGUUCUUUUCCGUGUAAGCGGGGGGAUAUGUUGUAUCCAUACUAUUGACACAUGCCAUUUAGGCCUCUACGUGACAAGUCUGCCUUAUUUAGGUGUCUAAUUAUUUAUCUAUCUCCCAUAAACGGGUUCAUAAUCGUCUUUAUUUUAUGUCUUCACGCAAGGCCUGGGGCCUUCCUUAUUUGGUAUACGCUGUUAUUUCCCCACCUAGCUCCCGCUCUUAAUGCAACAGUUUGUACACAUAUUUACUACGGUUUGAUACGCUAUUGCAUGCGGGACCAGCAAUCUGGUGGCCAUGGACUUCCAUGGCCGCAAUUAGAUAGUAUUGCCAUCACCUUCCUUUUCUCUCUAUCUCUCUUGCCUUGUGCUCUUCAUUAUCUUCUCUUGAACUAAGUUACAUGUACCCUCCUGUGAA